rnacentral:rRNA from 1 species
AGAGUUUGAUCAUGGCUCAGAUUGAACGCUGGCGGCAGGCCUAACACAUGCAAGUCGAGCGGUAGAGAGAAGCUUGCUUCUCUUGAGAGCGGCGGACGGGUGAGUAAUGCCUAGGAAUCUGCCUGGUAGUGGGGGAUAACGUUCGGAAACGGACGCUAAUACCGCAUACGUCCUACGGGAGAAAGCAGGGGACCUUCGGGCCUUGCGCUAUCAGAUGAGCCUAGGUCGGAUUAGCUAGUUGGUGAGGUAAUGGCUCACCAAGGCGACGAUCCGUAACUGGUCUGAGAGGAUGAUCAGUCACACUGGAACUGAGACACGGUCCAGACUCCUACGGGAGGCAGCAGUGGGGAAUAUUGCACAAUGGGCGCAAGCCUGAUGCAGCCAUGCCGCGUGUAUGAAGAAGGCCUUCGGGUUGUAAAGUACUUUCAGCGGGGAGGAAGGUGUUGUGGUUAAUAACCGCAGCAAUUGACGUUACCCGCAGAAGAAGCACCGGCUAACUCCGUGCCAGCAGCCGCGGUAAUACGGAGGGUGCAAGCGUUAAUCGGAAUUACUGGGCGUNAAAGCGCACGCAGGCGGUCUGUCAAGUCGGAUGUGAAAUCCCCGGGCUCAACCUGNGAACUGCAUUCGAAACUGGCAGGCUAGAGUCUUGUAGAGGGGGGUAGAAAUNCCAGGUGUAGCGGUGAAAUGCGUANAGAUCUGGNGGAAUACCGNNNNGAAGCGGNCCCCCUGGACAAAGACUGACGCUCAGGUGCGAAAGCGUGGGGAGCAAACAGNAUUAGAUACCCUGGUAGUCCACGCCGUAAACGAUGUCGACUUGGAGGUUGUUCCCUUGAGGAGUGGCUUCCGGAGCUAACGCGUUAAGUCGACCGCCUGGGGAGUACGGCCGCAAGGUUAAAACUCAAAUGAAUUGACGGGGGCCCGCACAAGCGGUGGAGCAUGUGGUUUAAUUCGAUGCAACGCGAAGAACCUUACCUACUCUUGACAUCCAGAGAACUUAGCAGAGAUGCUUUGGUGCCUUCGGGAACUCUGAGACAGGUGCUGCAUGGCUGUCGUCAGCUCGUGUUGUGAAAUGUUGGGUUAAGUCCCGCAACGAGCGCAACCCUUAUCCUUUGUUGCCAGCGGUCCGGCCGGGAACUCAAAGGAGACUGCCAGUGAUAAACUGGAGGAAGGUGGGGAUGACGUCAAGUCAUCAUGGCCCUUACGAGUAGGGCUACACACGUGCUACAAUGGCGCAUACAAAGAGAAGCGACCUCGCGAGAGCAAGCGGACCUCAUAAAGUGCGUCGUAGUCCGGAUUGGAGUCUGCAACUCGACUCCAUGAAGUCGGAAUCGCUAGUAAUCGUAGAUCAGAAUGCUACGGUGAAUACGUUCCCGGGCCUUGUACACACCGCCCGU